rnacentral:rRNA from 1 species
UUUAUACUGUGAAACUAUGGCUCAUUCCAACCUGGUUGAUAAAUCAGUUAUCGUUUAUUUGAUAGUACCUUACUCUGCCAGUAGUCAUAUGCUUGGGCGCGAUUCCAACCUGGUUGAUCCUGCCAGUAGUCAUAUGCUUGUGCAUGUCUAAGUAUAAGCAAACAUGGAUACCUGUGGUAAUUCUAGAGCUAAUACAUGCUGAAAACCUCGACUUCGGAAGGGGUGUAUUUAUUAGAUAAAAAACCAAUGCCCUUCGGGGCUCCUUGGUGAAUCAUAAUAACUUAACGAAUCGCAUGGCCUUGCGCCGGCGAUGGUUCAUUCAAAUUUCUGCCCUAUCAACUUUCGAUGGUAGGAUAGUGGCCUACCAUGGUGGCAACGGGUAACGGGGAAUUAGGGUUCGAUUCCGGAGAGGGAGCCUGAGAAACGGCUACCACAUCCAAGGAAGGCAGCAGGCGCGCAAAUUACCCAAUCCCGACACGGGGAGGUAGUGACAAUAAAUACUGAUACGGGGCUCUUUUGGGUCUCGUAAUUGGAAUGAGUACAAUCUAAAUCCCUUAACGAGGAACAAUUGGAGGGCAAGUCUGGUGCCAGCAGCCGCGGUAAUUCCAGCUCCAAUAGCGUAUAUUAAAGUUGUUGCAGUUAAAAAGCUCGUAGUUGAACCUUGGGUCUGUCCGCCUCACCGCGAGUACUGGUCCGGCUGGACCUUU